GUAUCAUCAAUAAGCACGACAACGUCAAAUGGUCAAAGAUCAAUUUCAUCGUUCAAAAUUUCGAAUUGAAUAGUUUAUAUCUUUGAAUCAUGCUAAACACGGGAAAACUUGCUGGAAAACAAUUUUUAUUAGUGGAGCAAGUCGUGGUAUUGGUAAACCUAUAGCUUUAAAGGCAGCACAGGAUGGAGCAAAUAUUGUCAUUGCUGCUAAAACAGCUGAGCCGCAUCCAAAGCUCCCAGGAACAAUUUACACAGCUGCUGAAGAAGAUACGACCUAAUGCACGGUGUCAAAAACAGAGGAACAUUUUUAUGCUCUCAAGCGUGUAUUCCAUAUCUGAAAUUGGCCAAGAACCCUCAUAUUUUAAACGUCAGUCCGCCAUUAAACAUGAAACCUCUUUGGUUUAAAGGACACGUAGCAUACACGAUCGCCAAAUAUGGUAUGUCCAUGUGUGUUCUUGGUAUGGCUGAAGAAUUUAAAGAUGAUGGUGUAGCAGUGAACGCUCUUUGGCCAAAAACAGGACUUGACCUAUCGAGACAGCAGCAAUGGAGAUGCUUGCUGGUGGAGAUGCUCUACAACAAUGUCGUAAUACAGACAUCAUGAGUGAUGCGGCUUAUGUUGUACUAACUAGAGACAGUAAAUCAAGGACUGGUGAAUUUCUUAUUGAUGAGGAUGUUUUACGUGAAAUGCUGUAUGCCAUCAUCACUGUUUACAAAUCUCCACGGACCACCAUAUGAAGCAUGUACACAAUGCGUACCUAUUUUGAAUUGCUGUUAUGCGAUCAUCACUGUUUACAAAUCUCCACGGACCACCAUAUGAAGCAUGUACAAAAUGCGUACCUAUUUUGAAUUGCUGUAUGCCACCAUUACUGUUUACAAAUCUCCACCGAGCACUAUAUGAAUCAUGUACACAAUGUGCACCUAUUUUGAAUUGCUGUAUCCCACCAUCACUGUUUACAGAUCUCCACGGACCACUAUAUGAAGCAUGUACACAAUGCGUACCUAUUUUGAAUUGCUGUAUGCCACCAUCACUGUUUUCAAAUCUCCACCGAACACCAUAUAAAGCAUCUACACAAUGCGUACCUAUUUUGAAUUGCUGUAUACCAACAUCACUGCUUACAAAUCUCCACGGAUCACCAUAUGAAGCAAAAGUUGUUUGCUCAAUUGGCGUUUAGUCAGUACGAAAACAGCCUGGAAAACUGUUGCCUCGUUUAAAUGUUUUCUUGCAGCUGUUUUUUCAUAUCUUUUACGCCCGAUCAUCCCAUUACCUUAUUUUUAAGAUUGAAAUGAUAUUACUCAGAGUUAUUUUAGAUAUUUAAAUUUUCCCAUUAUAGGACCAUUUUAAAAUUUUAGAAGAUAAAAGGAUUACAGUAUGAAAGACAUGCAUUACUUAUAUUGUCUUACAAUUUAGCGUAUGCAGUAUGGAGCUAUAAAAUUUGACAUUAAAACAUGAAAAUCCAGCAUUCACCUUAAAUUUUUGAAAACUUGAUUGCCCUUCAUUGACCUUUUAUAAGAGAGCAUACUUUUGAUAGUGUAAUUACAUAUAAGUGCACCUCUACAUAAUAAAUAAAUUAAACUCUGGACUCA